AGUUUGAUCAUGGCUCAGAUUGAACGCUGGCGGCAUGCCUUACACAUGCAAGUCGAACGGCAGCACGGGGGCAACCCUGGUGGCGAGUGGCGAACGGGCGAGUAAUACAUCGGAACGUAUCCUGUAGCGGGGGAUAACCUCUCGAAAGAGAGGCUAAUACCGCAUACGACCCAAGGGUGAAAGAGGGGGAUCGCAAGACCUCUCACUAUUGGAGCGGCCGAUGUCGGAUUAGCUAGUUGGCGGGGUAAAAGCCCACCAAGGCUACGAUCCGUAGCUGGUCUGAGAGGACGACCAGCCACACUGGAACUGAGACACGGUCCAGACUCCUACGGGAGGCAGCAGUGGGGAAUUUUGGACAUUGGGCGCAAGCCUGAUCCAGCCAUGCCGCGUGAGUGAAGAAGGCCUUCGGGUUGUAAAGCUCUUUCGGCGGGGACGAAAAGAUUCGCGUUAACACCGCGGAUCCAUGACGGUACCCGCAGAAGAAGCACCGGCUAACUACGUGCCAGCAGCCGCGGUAAUACGUAGGGUGCAGGCGUUAAUCGGAAUUACUGGGCGUAAAGCGUGCGCAGGCGGUCUUUUAAGUCAGAUGUGAAAUCCCCGGGCUUAACCUGGGAACUGCGUUUGAAACUGGAAGGCUAGAGUGUGGCAGAGGGGGGUGGAAUUCCACGUGUAGCAGUGAAAUGCGUAGAUAUGUGGAGGAACACCGAUGGCGAAGGCAGCCCCCUGGGCUA
rnacentral:rRNA from 1 species